rnacentral:rRNA from 1 species
GUCUGCGGCCAUGCCACCCUGAACGUACCUGAUGUCCUCUGAUCUCCGAAGUUCGGCAGGGUCGGGCCUGGUUAGUCCUUGGAUGGGAGACCACCUAGGAAGACCAGGUGCUGCAGGCA